UACGUAGGGUCCAAGAGUUAAUCGGAAUUACUGGGCGUAAAGCGUGCGCAGGCGGUUGUGCAAGACCGAUGUGAAAUCCCCGAGCUUAACUUGGGAAUUGCAUUGGUGACUGCACGGCUAGAGUGUGUCAGAGGGGGGUAGAAUUCCACGUGUAGCAGUGAAAUGCGUAGAGAUGUGGAGGAAUACCGAUGGCGAAGGCAGCCCCAUGGGAUAACACGGACGCUCAUGCACGAAAGCGGGGGGAGCACACAGGCUGCGAUAACAGUGUAGUCC
rnacentral:rRNA from 1 species